CAGAUUGAACGCUGGCGGCAUGCCUUACACAUGCAAGUCGAACGGCAGCAUAGGAGCUUGCUCCUGAUGGCGAGUGGCGAACGGGUGAGUAAUAUAUCGGAACGUGCCCUAGAGUGGGGGAUAACUAGUCGAAAGACUAGCUAAUACCGCAUACGAUCUACGGAUGAAAGUGGGGGAUCGCAAGACCUCAUGCUCCUGGAGCGGCCGAUAUCUGAUUAGCUAGUUGGUGGGGUAAAAGCCUACCAAGGCAACGAUCAGUAGCUGGUCUGAGAGGACGACCAGCCACACUGGGACUGAGACACGGCCCAGACUCCUACGGGAGGCAGCAGUGGGGAAUUUUGGACAAUGGGGGCAACCCUGAUCCAGCAAUGCCGCGUGAGUGAAGAAGGCCUUCGGGUUGUAAAGCUCUUUUGUCAGGGAAGAAACGGUGGUGGCGAAUAACUACUACUAAUGACGGUACCUGAAGAAUAAGCACCGGCUAACUACGUGCCAGCAGCCGCGGUAAUACGUAGGGUGCAAGCGUUAAUCGGAAUUACUGGGCGUAAAGCGUGCGCAGGCGGUUGUGUAAGUCAGAUGUGAAAUCCCCGGGCUCAACCUGGGAAUUGCAUUUGAGACUGCACGGCUAGAGUGUGUCAGAGGGGGGUAGAAUUCCACGUGUAGCAGUGAAAUGCGUAGAUAUGUGGAGGAAUACCGAUGGCGAAGGCAGCCCCCUG
rnacentral:rRNA from 1 species